UACGUAGGGACCGAGCGUUGUCCGGAAUCAUUGGGCGUAAAGAGCGUGUAGGCGGCCUGGUAAGUCCGCUGUGAAAGUCCAGGGCUCAACCCUGGAAUGCCGGUGGAAACUGUCAGGCUCGAGUCCGGAAGAGGCGAGUGGAAUUCCUGGUGUAGCGGUGAAAUGCGCAGAUAUCAGGAGGAACACCAAUGGCGAAGGCAGCUCGCUGGGACGGUACUGACGCUGAGACGCGAAAGCGUGGGGAGCAAACAGG
rnacentral:rRNA from 1 species